rnacentral:rRNA from 1 species
GACGAACGCUGGCGGCGUGCCUAAUACAUGCAAGUAGGACGCACAGUUUAUACCGUAGCUUGCUACACCAUAGACUGUGAGUUGCGAACGGGUGAGUAACGCGUAGGUAACCUGCCUAUUAGAGGGGGAUAACUAUUGGAAACGAUAGCUAAUACCGCAUAACAGUAUGUAACACAUGUUAGAUGCUUGAAAGAUGCAAUUGCAUCGCUAGUAGAUGGACCUGCGUUGUAUUAGCUAGUAGGUAGGGUAAAGGCCUACCUAGGCAACGAUACAUAGCCGACCUGAGAGGGUGAUCGGCCACACUGGGACUGAGACACGGCCCAGACUCCUACGGGAGGCAGCAGUAGGGAAUCUUCGGCAAUGGGGGGAACCCUGACCGAGCAACGCCGCGUGAGUGAAGAAGGUUUUCGGAUCGUAAAGCUCUGUUGUUAAGGAAGAACGAGUGUGAGAAUGGAAAGUUCAUACUGUGACGGUACUUAACCAGAAAGGGCGGCUAACUCAA